rnacentral:lncRNA from 1 species
GUGUCCCCGUGCUUGGACCCCAGGGCAACACAAAGGCGAUGUGCAGGCGAGGGUGGGCAGAUGGGACAGAGUAGCCCAGGGCUGGCCCCUCACCCUGAGAGGGGAGCGGGGAGUGCUGGAGCUGGGGGUGCCCUGGGCACGGGACACAGCUGGGAUGGCUGAAAGGAACGGGGAUCAAGGUGGGGAUGGGGAGCGAGCUGAGGGGCUGCCCCACUCUGCACUGACACUUCUGGGACAGGGACAUCCUCUACCCAUCCCCGUUCACUUCCACUUGUGUUUUGGUGGCACGGUGCAGAGAGCUGCACAAGUGUUUGUCCUUACUGGUCCACGUGCACAAGCCUUGCUCAAAGCUGGGUCUUGCUCCCUGUCUGGUCCCUCCCAGUCCGAGAGCAAGACUGUCUGUGCCCAUUCACCAGGUCAAAGAACUUUGGGGUGUAGCCAUGGAAUUAGUCAUGGAAUUUGAAGCACACCUCUCUGAUCAUGCAUUGCUUUUCUUUCCUUUUCCAGUGAGAAAAGAUGCAGUGAUCGCGGAAAAAGCUGCAGAGCUGGAGAAACAAGCUGCAGAGCUGGUGAGAAAAGAUGCAACUAUGGCGGACCAAGCUGCAGAGCUGGCAUGGAGAAGGUGUCUGCUGCCUCAAAAUAGAGGUAGGUGUGCACUGGGUUGCCCUCUGAGGUGCUCCUCCUUCCCUUGCUGGGCCAUAUUCAGGAGCCAAGAGGUGCCCCAUCUCCUGCCCCGUGGGGCAGCUCCUGGCCCCAAGCUGGGGAAAGUCUGCCCAGGGCUGAGCUCUGCCCCUGAUAACCUGGCUCCUUCUGUCCCUGCAGUGAAGGUGACCCUGGAUCCAGACACGGCUCAUCCCAUGCUUGUCCUGUCUCAGGACAACAGCAGUGUGAGAUGGGAAGAAAAAUCACCUCAGGUUCCUGACACACCAGAGAGAUUUCAGGAGAGUUUAUGUGUGCUGGGCUGUGAGGAGUUCAGAGAGGGGAGGUACUGCUGGUUGGUGGACGUGGAGGGGGAGUCGCUAAAGUAUUCU